rnacentral:rRNA from 1 species
CGGAAGUUUCGGAUGGAAGUUUAAGAACUAGUGGCGGACGGGUGAGUAACGCGUGGGUAACCUGCCUCAUACAGGGGGAUAACAGUUAGAAAUGACUGCUAACACCGCAUAAUAUAGUGAAACCGCAUGAUUUUUGCUAUCAAAGUAUUUAUAGGGUAUGAGAUGGGCCCGCGUCUGAUUAGCUAGUUGGUGGGGUAAAAGCCUACCAAGGCGACGAUCAGUAGCCGGCUUGAGAGAGUGACCGGCCACAUUGGGACUGAGACACGGCCCAAACUCCUACGGGAGGCAGCAGUGGGGAAUAUUGGACAAUGGGGGAAACCCUGAUCCAGCGACGCCCGCGUGAGUGAAGAAGUAUUUCGGUAUGUAAAGCUCUAUCAGCAGGGAAGAUAAUGACAGUACCUGACUAAGAAGCCCCGGCUAACUACGUGCCAGCAGCUGC